rnacentral:tRNA from 1 species
GUCUUCGUGGUGUAACGGUAGCACACUCGGCUCGUACUCGAGAGGUCUAGGUUCGAGUUUCAGUGAAGGCA